rnacentral:rRNA from 1 species
UACAGAGGUCCCAAGCGUUGUUCGGAUUCACUGGGCGUAAAGGGUGCGUAGGCGGCCGGGUAAGUCUGAUGUGAAAGCUCGGAGCUCAACUCCGAAAUGGCAUCGGAAACUAUCCGGCUCGAGGAAUGGAGGGGAGACUGGAAUGCUCGGUGUAGCAGUGAAAUGCGUAGAUAUCGAGCGGAACACCAGUGGCGAAGGCGAGUCUCUGGACAUUUCCUGACGCUGAGGCACGAAAGCCUGGGGAGCAAACGGG